rnacentral:rRNA from 1 species
AUGGCUCAGAUUGAACGCUGGCGGCAUGCCUUACACAUGCAAGUCGAACGGCAGCACGGGAGCUUGCUCCUGGUGGCGAGUGGCGAACGGGUGAGUAAUACAUCGGAACGUACCCUGAAGUGGGGAUAACGUAGCGAAAGUUACGCUAAUACCGCAUAUUCUGUGAGCAGGAAAGAGGGGGAUCGCAAGACCUCUUGCUUUAGGAGCGGCCGAUGUCGGAUUAGCUAGUUGGUGAGGUAAAGGCUCACCAAGGCGACGAUCCGUAGCGGGGUCUGAGAGGAUGAUCCGCCACACUGGGACUGAGACACGGCCCAGACUCCUACGGGAGGCAGCAGUGGGGAAUUUUGGACAAUGGGCGCAAGCCUGAUCCAGCCAUGCCGCGUGAGUGAAGAAGGCCUUCGGGUUGUAAAGCUCUUUCGGUGGGGAAGAAAUUGCUUCGGUUAAUACCUGGAGUAGAUGACGGUACCCGCAUAAGAAGCACCGGCUAACUACGUG